GAAGGUGGCCAUUCUGUAGGACGUGAGGGUCGGUGUAGGUGGAAGGGAAGCAUCGGGAAAAGGAGUAGGAGAGAAGCAAAAAGUAGGUUGGGUUGAUGGCGGCAAGGAGUAAGUGAUUUAUGGUUAUUGAUAGCAAGUCAUUCGACCUGGCUUUUGGGGGACAUAAUGCGGAAGGACUGAGUAUCAGUGAGAAUGAAAGAAGAUUUAGGGUGACGAUUGAACUGGAGAAAGUGGAGGUGGAUUGACUAAUGGACUCAUUCACUAACUUCUAUCGGAGGAAGGGAGAUGAAACUUGGGGUAAGCAGAUGACCGGGAAGAAGCACAGACUAUACAUAGCGUAGGGAUAGAAUUGGCGAGGGAGAUAUCUCGUCCUGACGGAGGAGGUAGGUCGUUCGGCAAGAAGAAUAUUUAUCUCGGAGGGGCCGGAGGCAUGAGGAUGGUAGGGAGUGAUGAAAAACGUGUUUGCGAUGGCGGAGUGGCCGCUGGUGAACCCUGAUAAACCUAAGAUAGCCAAUAAGAUGGGAAAUGAGAAAGGAGGAGUGGUUCGGAAGGAGACAAUGUAGAAGAGGGAAGUUCUAAGGUUCCCUCACUAUCAUACAAGCUUGCGCGUAAUGAUUGAGAGAGCCAAGAAAACCUCUUUCGCGGAGGUGUUGCAGAAGGGAGGUGAGAGGGCGAGUCGAGUGGAGAAGACGGGUCUUGGGUCUGUUUUGGAGGUAGUCAGUUUCAAAUUUCAAAAUGGACUCGGUCUGCCCCCAGCUUGAAAUGCAGCAAGGGGCUGCCGUUUUGGGAAAAUUGACGCUGGAAAGACAAAUAGUGGGCGGAGUAGGUGGAAGAAU
rnacentral:lncRNA from 1 species